AAAAAGACGAGAUGUAGCUCCUUCCUCUCUCUCUUUGUCCUCCAUCCUUUCACUUCAUUGUACUGCAGUGUUUACAGGCAAAAAAACAAUAAUAAAAAGAUGCCUGUAAACACUGCGCUAUCAUUUCUACCGAAUAACUAUAAAUUGUAUUCCAGCCGAUAGUAUGUCUGUGCAAACUACAUUCAAACUAUGAUGGUCAACUAAAUGCACAUUUUUUUAUUUUUUUUUUAAUUUGAUUUGAUGAGUCAAACGCAACGUUUGGGUCACGCAGCACGCGCAUUCCAGAAUGUGAAAUAAUGACCAAGAGAGCAGUCAGUGCUGCCGUACUGCGGUCAAGCAUUUACCUCUUAAAUCAGCUCUGUGUUUGGCCACGGCUCGUGGCCGCGCGCACUGGAAGACUCAGCGGGUUCAAUGCGCCUCGGCUGGGAAAGAGAAGCUGGAAGGAGGAAAGAGACGAAGCUGCUGGCUGCGAGAAAGAGGAACAUUGAGCUCUGAUGAUCUGCGAUAUGAUCCAUGUUUGAGGGUAAACAAGAGCGGACUGGGGGGGGAGGCUGGAGAAAAACAAAAACAAUAGACGUCAUCGGUAGCCUAUGAUGACUACUGCAUAGCAAGACAGAAAUAUUGCGUGGCUGCAGAAGUGUCACAUCUCUAAACAGAGACAGAAGCAGAGGUCAUGGAGGGUAGGGCUAAAAGAAAAAGAACUGAACCUCCAACCUCUAAUCCAACUUGGAUAAGAGGCUCAUACCAGCUUCAACAACUGACAACAUGUUACACACAAGACAAGGACACUUGGAAUGUGUCUAUCAUUAUAUUUUUAAUUUGAUUCUUUGAUUACAUAAUUAAAUAAUUAAUUAAAUAUUUAAUUCAAAUAAAAAAUUAUUGAAUUAAAAAAUAAAUUACUCAAAUAACUGAGUCAUCUGAAUUCAAAUAAUUUAAUUCAAAUGAUCUGAAUUCAAGGAAUCCAUCCAUCCAUGGAUGGAUUAAUAAAGGUUUAGGAUUAUAUUCUUUUACUGAGUUUUAAUUGUUUUUGUAGAUUGUAGUUUUUAGUGUAAUAUCUUCAAAACCUUAGAGAAGGUCAAAUGCAGGAUCUUGGUUGGGGGACACUGACCCGACUUACAGCCACUGAUUCUGCUGAAGAGACGGACUCACCAGAUGAGCUCGUCCUUCCAGCCUUCACAGCCGAAGAAUUAGAAACCCAGAACCAAAAACUGGAGUCAGGAGCUCUUUGUAAAGAAUGGAACAGAAGGGGAAGAGAAGUCUUUCUUCUCACAAGCUCUUGGCAACUGUGAUAUUUAGAUGUGUCCUGCCUCUCGCCCAUUGGCCGCUGGAGACCAGUACCCCUCGCACCCCCAGUAGGGAUAAGCAUGAGAUGCUGCGAUUGGAACUUCCAACAGAAGAAGAUGUUCGCUGCUCCCCAGCUGCACCACCAUCCUUGGAAUCCUCUCCCAAUGGCAACCAGCCCGUCGGGAUCGAGUCGGUCAUGGUAAUGGUGUUUCGCUCAGGCGGCUCCUGCACAGCAGUUGUGGCCUGGAGCUAGGUUUGAGUUACGAGGCCAGCAGCCGGAAGGCUGGUGUAGGUGUUGCAGGGGGUAAUUCAUUCAUACACAUCAAGUGACCCCUUAAAUCACUUGAAUGUUGCUUUAGCAGUAUGCUUUGGGUUAUUGUCUAGUUGGAAUGUAAACUUUCAUCCCAGUCUCAAACACUGACAGACUGAAACAGGUGUGAUUCAAAAAUAUCCCUUGACAGAGUUUCCCACUCCCUGCUGAUGAGACGUGUUGAUUUCGUUCCAGACAUUGUGGUUUCCUUGGCUAAACAGUUCAAUUUUGGACUUACUUGACCAAAGCAAUGUCCUCUACAUUUUGAAGGACCUACAUUUUGAAGGUCCUCCAACAUGUCUUUUGGCAAACUCAAAUCAGCCCUCCUGUUUUUCCCUGUAAGUAAAACGUAUAUAUAUAUAUAUAUAUAUAUAUAUAUAUAUAUAUAUAUAGGUGACUCUAGACUCGAGCAUCAAUUUCUUUGGACAGAAGAUCUCCAGCAGAACUAACCUCAUUAAAGGUGGCCACUAGGAAAGGGAUUAGAGAACAUAUGAGACAGACUCAUAAAAGUACCAGGCUAGGGCUGCAUUCAGUCAAACUACUUUUUGUGACUGUGCAGAUUAUUUAAUAAUACUUAGCUUCACUUGUCCAUGAAGCCUGAUGACACCAGUCAAGCUGUAAACAGAGAAAUAUGGAAGCCAGGUAGCAAUUAAUUUGCUACCUGAUCUGAUUUGCUAUCGAUAGAUAGAUAGAUAGAUAGAUAGAUAGACAGAUAGACAGACAGACAGACAGACAGACAGACAGACAGACAGACAGACAGACAGACAGACAGAUAGACAGA